GAAUGCUGACAUAAGUAACGAUAAAGCGGGUGAAAAGCCCGCUCGCCGGAAGACCAAGGGUUCCUGUCCAACGUUAAUCGGGGCAGGGUGAGUCGACCCCUAAGGCGAGGCCGAAAGGCGUAGUCGAUGGGAAACAGGUUAAUAUUCCUGUACUUGGUGUUACUGCGAAGGGGGGACGGAGAAGGCUAUGUUGGCCGGGCGACGGUUGUCCCGGUUUAAGCGUGUAGGCUGGUUUUCCAGGCAAAUCCGGAAAACCAAGGCUGAGGCGUGAUGACGAGGCACUACGGUGCUGAAGCGACAAAUGCCCUGCUUCCAGGAAAAGCCUCUAAGCAUCAGGUAACAUCAAAUCGUACCCCAAACCGACACAGGUGGUCAGGUAGAGAAUACCAAGGCGCUUGAGAGAACUCGGGUGAAGGAACUAGGCAAAAUGGUGCCGUAACUUCGGGAGAAGGCACGCUGAUAUGU
rnacentral:rRNA from 1 species